UGCGCAGAUUGCAGUUGUAGUUUGAGGGCACGCAUGCUUGAGAAAGAAACACGCUCCUCAUGGACGCUCAUUCAAAGUUAUCUGGAUGCAUUCAUGUCAAUUUUAUGUUAUUUGCGUCAUCAAUGGUCACUGUCCCUCAAAUGAAGACGAGAUGAGUUGCUGUGGCUGAUCUUUGAAUCCUGGAAGUGAGAUGGAGAAGAAUUAGAAAGUAAAAGACAGCUGUAGGCACUGAUGAAAGAAAGGCAGGUUCAGUGGGGUGACUGGUGUCACCAUAAGGUUGACCAGUAGCUGGUGACGACUGAAUGUGGCUGUCAUGGAAUCCCAGGCCUUCACGGAACGUUGGGUGUCCAGUAGCUGGUGACGACUGAAUGUGGCUGUCAUGGAAUCCCAGGCCUUCACAGCACAUUGCGUGUGAAGUUGGUGUGGAGCAGUGUGACCGUCAUGACAUCACCCUUCCUUGAAGGGACAUGGUGUUGACCAGUAGCUGGUGACGACUGAAUGUGGCUGUCAUGGAAUCCCAGGCCUUCACAGAACAUUGGGUGUCCAGUAGUUGGUGACGACUGAAUGUGGCUGUCAUGGAAUCACCAGGCCUUCACGGAACAUUGGUUGACCAGUAGCUGGUGACGACUGAAUGUGGCUGUCAUGGAAUCACCAGGCCUUCACAGAACAUUGUUGGCGAUGACCAGAGUGCAGUUGUGGACGUGCCGCCAUCAUGGAAGCAACAGGUCUUCAUGGAACAUUUGUAAUUAUUUUGGUAUGCAAGCUAAAAUAUGCAUACAUAUACAAAAUACACAUGAAAUACUGAAAUAUAUCUGGAAAAAUAAUUAAAAAUAUAGAUAUCGGUUUGUAUUUUUUGUUUGUGUGUAUUAAAAUAGUGAGUCUUUCUUC